rnacentral:rRNA from 1 species
UACGUAGGGGGCAAGCGUUGUCCGGAAUCAUUGGGCGUAAAGAGCGCGUAGCGGUCCGGUAAGUCCGCUCUGAAAGCCCGGGGCUCAACCCCGGGAGGCGGGCGGAUACUGUCGGGCUAGAGUCCGGAAGAGGCGAGUGGAAUUCCUGGUGUAGCGGUGAAAUGCGCAGAUAUCAGGAGGAACACCGAUGGCGAAGGCAGCUCGCUGGGACGGUACUGACGCUGAGGCGCGAAAGCAUGGGGAGCAAACAGG